GUAGGUGAACCUGCGGAA
rnacentral:ncRNA from 6 species